GCAAGUUUAGCUCAGUGGUAGAGCGCGGGUCUUGUAAACCUGAGGUCGUGAGUUCAAUCCUCACAAUUUGCU